rnacentral:rRNA from 1 species
UACGGAAGGCAGCAGUGGGGAAUAUUGCACAAUGGGCGAAAGCCUGAUGCAGCUAUGCCGCGUGUAUGAAGAAGGCCUUAGGGUUGUAAAGUACUUUCAUCGGGGAGGAAAAACAAAACUAAUAAUUUUAUUUCUUGACGUUACCCGAAAAAGAAGCACCGGCUAACUCCGUGCCAGCAGCCGCGGUAAUACGGAGGGUGCUAGCGUUAAUCAGAAUUACUGGGCGUAAAGAGCACGUAGGUGGUUUUUUUAAGUCAGAUGUGAAAUCCCUGGGCUUAACCUAGGAACUGCAUUUUGAAACUGAAAUACUAGAGUAUCGUAGAGGGAGGUAGAAUUCUAGGUGUAGCGGUGAAAUGCGUAGAUAUCUGGAGGAAUACCUGUGGCGAAAGCGGCCUCCUAAACGAAUACCGUGAACUCGUAGGUAGGUCGAA